GGAAGUAAAAAGUCGUAACAAGGUUUCCGUAGGUGAACCUGCGGAAGGAUCAUUACUGAGUGAGGGCCCCUCGGGGUCCAACCUCCCACCCGUGUUUAACGAACCUUGUUGCUUCGGCGGGCCCGCCUCACGGCCGCCGGGGGGCAUUUGCCCCCGGGCCCGCGCCCGCCGAAGCCACCUGUGAACGCUGUCUGAAGUAUGCAGUCUGAGACAAUUAUUAAAUUAAUUAAAACUUUCAACAACGGAUCUCUUGGUUCCG
rnacentral:misc_RNA from 1 species